UACGUAGGGGGCAAGCGUUUUCCGGAUUUAUUUGGCGUAAAGAGCUCGUAGGUGGUUCGGUAAGUCGGAUGUGAAAUCUCCAGGCUCAACCUGGAGGGGUCAUUCGAUACUGCCGUGACUAGAGGUCGGUAGGGGAGUGUGGAAUUCCUGGUGGAGCGGUGAAAUGCGCAGAUAUCAGGAGGAACACCAGUAGCGAAGGCGGCACUCUGGGCCGAUACUGACACUGAGGAGCGAAAGCGUGGGGAGCGAACAGG
rnacentral:rRNA from 1 species